rnacentral:rRNA from 1 species
AUACGUAGGGUGCUAGCGUUAUCCGGAUUUACUGGGCGUAAAGGGUGCGUAGGUGGUCUUUCAAGUCGGUGGUUAAAGGCUACGGCUCAACCGUAUUAAGCCGCCGAAACUGGAAGACUUGAGUGCAGGAGAGGAAAGUGGAAUUCUCAGUGUAGCGGUGAAAUGCGUAGAUAUUGAGAAGAACACCAGUAGCGAAGGCGGCUUUCUGGACUGUAACUGACACUGAGGCACGAAAGCGUGGGUAGCAAACAGGAUUAGAUACCCUGGUAGUCCACGCCGUAAACGAUGAGUAUUAGGUGUCGGGGGUUACCCCCCUCGGUGCCGCAGUUAACGCAUUAAAUACUCCGCCUGGGGAGUACGCACGCAAGUGUGAAACUCAAAGGAAUUGACGGGG